GAGUUUGAUCCUGGCUCAGGACGAACGCUGGCGGCGUGCCUAAUACAUGCAAGUCGAGCGAAUUUUUGGGAGCUUGCUCCCAAAAAUGAGCGGCGGACGGGUGAGUAACACGUGGGCAACCUGCCUGUAAGACUGGGAUAACUUCGGGAAACCGGAGCUAAUACCGGAUAAUUCUUUUCCUCACAUGAGGGAAAGCUGAAAGACGGUUUCGGCUGUCACUUACAGAUGGACCCGCGGCGCAUUAGCUAGUUGGUGAGGUAACGGCUCACCAAGGCGACGAUGCGUAGCCGACCUGAGAGGGUGAUCGGCCACAUUGGGACUGAGACACGGCCCAAACUCCUACGGGAGGCAGCAGUAGGGAAUCUUCCGCAAUGGACGAAAGUCUGACGGAGCAACGCCGCGUGAGUGAUGAAGGUUUUCGGAUCGUAAAACUCUGUUGUUAGGGAAGAACAAGUAUCGGAGUAACUGCCGGUACCUUGACGGUACCUAACCAGAAAGCCACGGCUAACUACGUGCCAGCAGCCGCGGUAAUACGUAGGUGGCAAGCGUUGUCCGGAAUUAUUGGGCGUAAAGCGCGCGCAGGCGGUCCUUUAAGUCUGAUGUGAAAUCUCGCGGCUCAACCGCGAGCGGCCAUUGGAAACUGGGGGACUUGAGUGCAGAAGAGGAAAGCGGAAUUCCACGUGUAG
rnacentral:rRNA from 1 species